rnacentral:ncRNA from 1 species
UAAAGUUUUGGUCCUAAACUUGCCAUUGUUUUUUACUAAAAUUAUACAUGCAAGCCUCCACAAACCAGUGAGAAUGCCCACAUACCCCUAAACAGUUAGCCGGAGCAGGUAUCAGGAUCGACACCCUUCAGCCAAAGACACCUUGCUAAUGCCACACCCCCACGGGCCCCCAGCAGUAAUUAACAUUAAGUAUAAGCGAAAGCUCGAAUUAAUUAUAGUAAACACGGUCGGUAAAUUUCGUGCCAGCCACCGCGGUUAUACGAAAGACCAAAAACAAUGACCCCCCGGCGUAAAGCGUGACUAAAGAUUAUAACUAUUAGAGACAAACACCUGCCAAGUUGUAAAAUACCUAUGCAAAUAAGAAAAACACAUCAACCUCUAAUCACCCCUUAUCUCACGAAAGCUAAGAAACAAACUGGGAUUAGAUACCCCACUAUGCCUAGCCCUAAACACUGACCACAUACGCACAACACAAUCCGCCAGAGAACUACAAGCGAAAAGCUAAAAACUCCAAGGACUUGGCGGUGCCUUAAACCAACCUAGAGGAGCCUGUCCUAUAAUCGAUACCCCACGUUAAACCUUACCCCUCUUAGCCAAACAGCCUAUAUACCGCCGUCGCCAGCCUACCUUAUGAAAGAAAUAAAGUAAGCAAAAUAGUUAACAACUAACACGUCAGGUCAAGGUGUAGCACACGGAGGGGGCAGAGAUGGGCUACACUAUCAAUGAACGAAGAUACGAACAACAUGCUGAAACACAUGUUUGAAGGUGGAUUUAGUAGUAAGAUGUAUAAGAAAAGCCAUCUUAAACCUGCUCUAAGGCGCGCACACACCGCCCGUCACCCUCAUCACAUGCGCACACCACACAAACAUAUAUUUAAAACGCAACCCAGAUGAGGCAAGUCGUAACAUGGUAAGCGCACUGGAAAGUACGCUUGGAAUCAA